rnacentral:rRNA from 1 species
ACACUGACGUCGCGACGCAUAUCAAUAAGCGGAGGAAAAGAAACUAACAAGGAUUCCCUUAGUAACGGCGAGUGAAGCGGGAAGAGCUCAAAUUUGAAAUCUUCAAGGUUCUACCUUGACGAAUUGUAGUUUAAAGAAGUGUUUUCUGUUAGAUGAGUAGCAAAAGUUCCUUGGAAUAGGGACAUCAUAGAGGGUGAGAAUCCCGUAUUUGGUCAUUCCUUCUAGCUUUGUGAUACACUUUCAAAGAGUCGGAUUGUUUGGGAAUGCAGUCCAAAAUGGGUGGUAAAUUUCAUCUAAAGCUAAAUAUUGGCGAGAGACCGAUAGCGAACAAGUACCGUGAGGGAAAGAUGAAAAGAACUUUGAAAAGAGAGUUAAACAGUACGUGAAAUUGUCAAAAGGGAAGCGUUUGACACCAGUGUUGUUUUUCCGAAAAUCAAUUAUAAAUGUUUUGUUUCUGAGGAGUGAUGACUUCAUCGGCUUCCUUCUCUCUUCACGAAACUUUUGUAAUGCACUUUUCGGUUAACAAGUCAACAUCAAUUUCUUUUGUUGUAAAAGAGUAUUCGGAAGGUGGCUUUCUUUUCGGAGAAAGUGUUUAUAGCCCUAUACUUCUACAAUCGGAGAGAUUGAGGUCUGCAGCGUAGAUCCUUCGGGGUUAGACUACACUUGUGCUAAGUUAUAGCUUUUCAUAGACAACUUGUUGACUAUGUUUAGUCUUGUAGCUUACUCGCUUGUGCUAUUUUACCUACGCUUAGGAUGUUGAGUCGUAGAGCACGCA